AACGAACGCUGGCGGCAGGCUUAACACAUGCAAGUCGAGCGCCCCGCAAGGGGUGCGGCCGACGGGUGCGUAACGCGUGGGAACGUACCUUUUGGUUCGGGACAACUCCGGGAAACUGGAGCUAAUACCGGAUAAGCCCUAACGGGGAAAGAUUUAUCGCCGAAAGAUCGGCCCGCGUCUGAUUAGCUAGUUGGUGAGGUAACGGCUGACCAAGGCGACGAUCAGUAGCUGGUCUGAGAGGAUGAUCAGCCACACUGGGACUGAGACACGGCCCAGACUCCUACGGGAAGCAGCAGUGGGGAGUAUUGGACAAUGGGCGCAAGCCUGAUCCAGCCAUGCCGCGUGAGUGAUGAAGGCCUUAGGGUUGUAAAGCUCUUUUGUCCGGGAAGAUAAUGACUGUACCGGAAGAAUAAGCCCCGGCUAACUUCGUG
rnacentral:rRNA from 1 species